GAUUAUGGCUCAGGAUGAACGCUGGCGGCGUGCCUAACACAUUCAAGUCGAACGAACUGUAGAAAUACAGUGAGUGGCGGACGGGUGAGUAACGCGUAAGCAAUCUGCCUUUGUGUGUGGAAUAACAACCGGAAACAGUUGCUAAUACCGCAUAACGCAUAGGAGUCGCAUGGCUCUUAUGCCAAAGAUUUAUCGCACGAAGAUGAGCUUGCGUCCGAUUAGAUAGUUGGCGGGGUAACGGCCCACCAAGUCGACGAUCGGUAGCCGGACUGAGAGGUUGAACGGCCACAUUGGAACUGAGAUACGGUCCAGACUCCUACGGGAGGCAGCAGUGGGGAAUAUUGGGCAAUGGACGAAAGUCUUGACCCAGCGACGCCGCGUGAGGGAAGAAGGUCUUCGGAUUGUAAACCUUAGUCAACAGGGACGAAGCAAGUGACGGUACCUGUGGAGGAAGCCACGGCUAACUACGUGCCAGCCGCCGC
rnacentral:rRNA from 1 species